rnacentral:rRNA from 1 species
GAUGAACGCUGGCGGCAGGCUUAACACAUGCAAGUCGAGCGGGGUGAUGGUGCUUGCACUAUCACUUAGCGGCGGACGGGUGAGUAAUGCUUAGGAAUCUGCCUAUUAGUGGGGGACAACAUCUCGAAAGGGAUGCUAAUACCGCAUACGUCCUACGGGAGAGAGCAGGGGAUCACUUGUGACCUUGCGCUAAUAGAUGAGCCUAAGUCGGAUUAGCUAGUUGAUGGGGUAAAGGCCUACCAAGGCGACGAUCUGUAGCGGGUCUGAGAGGAUGAUCCGCCACGCUGGGACUGUGACACGGCCCAGACUCCUACGGGAGGUAGCAGUGGGGAAUAUUGGACAAUGGGGGGAACCCUGAUCCAGCCAGGCCGCGUGUGUGAAGAAGGCCUUAUGGUUGUAAAGCACUUUAAGCGAGGAGGAGGCUCUUUUGGUUAAUACCCAGAAUGAGUGGACGUUACUCGCAGAAUAAGCACCGGCUAACUCUGUGCCAGCCGCCGCCGUAA